GUGUUGGAUAGUUUUGUUUAAUCUUGAUUAUUGUUAUACUUACACAAUUAACUAAUUAAAAUUGUCACAUGGUGUCUUCUUAUGUCAUAUAAAUUACAAUUUAUGUUAUUAUUCACAGUUCUGUAGUUUAUUUCGCCAUCGCCAUCUGUAUUUAUAUUAAAUGAUUGUCUAAAAUGUUAACUUGGCAUGCCAUACUUGGUAGAAAUGCGGACGUGAAAGAAAGCACUUUUCACAAAAGUGUCAUCGGAGAUUAAAACAUUCCAGGGCGACGAUUUCGUCAAUUAUGAAACAAAAUAAGUAUAUGUACUGUUUGAGUAUGAACCAGUUAUUAUAUUCAUUCACAAUUACGUUCCCAGAAUUUCUCUGAAGUUUGUCACAGUUCCGUCUAAUUUGGGUCAAAUUUCGACGGUCUGCUAAAAUGUCAC
rnacentral:lncRNA from 1 species